rnacentral:rRNA from 1 species
UACGUAGGGUGCAAGCGUUAAUCGGAAUUACUGGGCGUAAAGCGUGCGCAGGCGGUUUUUUAAGUCAGAUGUGAAAUCCCCGGGCUCAACCUGGGAAUGGCAUUUGAGACUGGCAGGCUAGAGUGUGUCAGAGGGGGGUAGAAUUCCACGUGUAGCAGUGAAAUGCGUAGAGAUGUGGAGGAACACCGAUGGCGAAGGCAGCCCCCUGGGAUAACACUGACGCUCAUGCACGAAAGCGUGGGGAGCAAACAGG